CCUACGGGGUGCAGCAGUGGGGGAUAUUGCACAAUGGGGGGAACCCUGAUGCAGCGACGCCGCGUGGGUGAAGAAGCGCCUCGGCGCGUAAAGCCCUGUCAGCAGGGAAGAAAAUGACGGUACCUGAAGAAGAAGCCCCGGCUAACUACGGGCCAGCAGCCGCGGUAAUACGUAGGGGGCAAGCGUUAUCCGGAUUUACUGGGUGGAAAGGGGGCGCAGACGGCGAUGCAAGCCAGGAGUGAAAGCCCGGGGCCCAACCCCGGGACUGCUCUUGGAACUGCGUGGCUGGAGUGCAGGAGGGGCAGGCGGAAUUCCUGGUGUAGCGGUGAAAUGCGUAGAUAUCAGGAGGAACACCGGUGGCGAAGGCGGCCUGCUGGACUGCAACUGACGUUGAGGCCCGAAAGCGUGGGGAGCAAACAGGAUUAGAUACCCGAGUAGUC
rnacentral:rRNA from 1 species